rnacentral:lncRNA from 1 species
UUUUUUUUUAAAUCACAGAAUAAUAUUUCAUUGGAUAUACCACAGUUUGUGUAUCCAUUCACACUGGGGCAUCCCAGUUACUUCCAGUUUGGGGUGAUUAUUAGUAAAGCUGCUAUAAAACAUCCAUGUGCAGGUUUUGAGUGGACAUAACUUUUUAACUCCUUUAGGUAGACACCAAAGAGAGGGGCACUUGCUGGAUCAUAGGGUAAGAGUAUGUUUAGUUUUGUAAGAAACUGCCGAACUGUCUUGCAAAGUGGCUGCACCAUUCUCUUUCUGCCAGCAGUGAAUAAGAGUUCCUGUUGCUCCACAUCCUCACCAGCAUUUGGCGUUGUCAGUGUUUUGGGUUUUAUGCGGAAUGUGUUUUCAUGUAUUUGUUUGCUGUCUGUAUAUCCUCUUUGGUGAGGUGUCUGUUCUGUUCUUUUGCUCAUUUUAAAAUUGAAUUGUUUGUUUUCUUAUUGUUGAGUUUUGAGAGUUCUUUUCUUUUUUUUUUUUUUAAUGGUCACAUCGUUGGCAUAUGGAAGUUCCUGGGCCAAGGGUAGAAUCUGAGCUGCAGCUGUGUCCUUUAAGCCACUACAUCGGCCCAGGGGUCAAACCUGCACCUCCUCAGCGACUAAAGCUGCUGCAGUUGGAUUUUUAACCCACUGCGCCACAGUGGGAACUCUGAGAGUUCCUUAUCCAUUUUGGUUAUGAGUCCUACUUGGUGAUUAAUUUCUCCUAGUCUGUGGGUUCUUUUCAUUUCCUCAGCAGUGUCUUUCACAGCAGAGUUUUAAAUUUCAGCACCAUUUUGCUUUCAUGUUAAGAUCAUCAUCACCAAAUAUAAGGUCGUAUAGAUUCUUUUCCCAUGUUUUUUAUCUAGUGGUUUUACAGUUUUGCAUUUUAUGUUUAGGUCUGUAGUUCAUUUCAGGUUGGUAUUUGUGAGAUGUAUAUGAUCUGUUUCCAGAUUCAUUUUUUUCGCAUGUGGAUGUACAGUUCCAGUGCCAUUUUUUGAAGAGACUUUGUGAAAUUGCUUUUGCUCCUUUGUCAAAGAUCAGUUGCUAAAUAUGUGGAAGUCCAUUCCUGGGAGCUCUGUACUGUCCCAUUGACGUAUGCAGUUAUCCUUUUUCCAAUACCCUGCUCUCUUGAUUUUUUGUGACUUUUAAUUUUAUUAGGUUUCUAACAUUUUAUGUGUUCAUGAUGAUUCUUCUCUUUAAGCUCUGUGGGUUUUGGUGUGUGGCUCAGUACACCUGCCUGGGGUCUGCUGGCCCAGGUCUUGAGCUCUGGGGUGGCAGGGUUGGUCCUGGUCAUCAUCAACCAAUGUAGUCCCUUUUUUUUUUUUCCCACUCUUGAGAAAAAGUAAUAGAAUGCUUAUGGUUAAAAAGAAAAAUCGCUAGUACAGUUGCUUAUUUUUUGUUGGUUUGUUUUUUGCUUUUUUGUCCUUUUAGGUCCUCCCUGGGACAUAUGGAAGUUCCCAGGCUAGGGGUCAAAUCAGAGCUGCAGCUACUGGCCUACGCCACAGCCACAGCAAUGCAGGAUCCAACUUGGGUCUGCAUUCUGCACCACACUCAUGGCAAUGCUGGAUCCUUAACCUACUGGGUGAGCCAGGGAUUGAACCUGCCUCCUCAUGGAUAAUAGUUGGGUUUGUUAUUGCUGAGCCACAAUUGGAACUCCCAGUUGGUUAGAUUUUUGAUGGAAGAUGAGUAUGACACUCCUCUGUGUCUUUGUGUCCCUGUUUUUGAGGUGGUCUACAGGACCUUCUGUUUGGGCAGCUCAGUCAGAGUUGGCUUUACUCCUGGUAAACCACCUGGAGAGCAGCUUAACUUACUAGCCUUAUGCAUUUGACCUAGGCAUCAGUUAGAGGAGGGGUGUGGACUCAGCUACUGCUUAGACCUAGGAUAAAAUCCUCCUUGGGCGUUUACUAGCUGCCUGCUGCACAGGCAGGGGCCAGUUGCUAGGUCCCUCUAAAAGUGACAGAUGCAUACCCAUUUGGGCUUCAGGUGCCUUCACUAUUAUUUCAGGUAUUCACAUCCUCUGUGAGCCCCUUUCCAGCCUGCCAGGCUCUAGGUCUGGUCCAUCCUCUGUUCUAGUGCCAGAUUCCACCCUGGAGAUGCCCACCUAGCUUUUCCCCAUGCCCGCUCCUCCUCUUGACCACCUUUGGGACAGGUCUGUAGGGACCUGAAGUGGAUUUAUGGGUGGUGUGGGUGGUGUUCCACAUGCCUGGCCGGCCAUGUCUGCAUCUCCCACAGUCUUUCAUUGCCAAGCACACCUCUUUUCCAAAAUGUUCUCUUGGGAUCAGUGUCUCACCUCCUUUGUGCCUGUACUGGUUGAAGUCUGGAACACAUCCCUGUUUCAGGACCCAGAGGAGCCUGUGAGGCUUUGGGGAGAGAGCGUGCCUGGGCCAGAGGCUCAGGGCAGAGGGUCAGGUCCUGACUUGACACUUUCUUUGGCUGUGGUUUGCAUGGUGACUGCCGCAACUUGCAGCAAUGUUGGUGCUGUUGUGAUUGGGCUAAGAAAUGGCCCCGAGCAGCUUAUACAAGGGCAUCCAGGAUGAAUCAGGAGUGUUAGGCAGUGGCCCGAGCUGUGAUGGAGUGAACACGUGUGCAUAUGCUCACAUGUGUGGGCAUUGUAGCACAGGCUUCACUCCUCUGAGUCACCUCAAUGUACGUCAGGGGGGACGAGGCUGGGAGACCGGAUACCUGGCUUCAGUAUAGUGUCCCACCCACCCACCUGAGCCUCAGGUUCUCACCUCUUUUCAUGGGCAGUGCAGUAUCCUUGGUUCUUUGGGUCAUGGGAGUCCCUCAUGGCACGUGCUAUCGCAUUGGCCCCUCAGGAGACUGUGACAGACUGCCAGACAUAGGGACAACUUUGCUCCCGAGACCCUUUCUCUCACCCUGGCUGCAGCUGCCAACAGGCCCGUCUACCUUCCAGAGCCUCUUAGGGCAGAUGUGAGCAUUGAAUCAUCAUUGCAGCCCAUGCCUAUAGUCCCGUAGGUUCCACUCUUGUCCCCAAAGCUGCAGAACUCUGGAUCUUUGCAGGGACACGGCCUCAUUUACUAUUGAGCCUCUGGCCACUUGCUGAUUACGAGGCUCUGUGGAUAUCCCUUCCUAAAUGGGGCUGAUAAUAUGAGAACACAUGCUGAGAUUAGAGAUGAAGUAAGAAACCCCCAUCCACUCUCCUGGUUUUCCAGCCCAGUGCAGUCCUGGUGUUCUGCUCACCAAAUGUCUUCUGAGGCUUAGGACAGAUGGGAGCUGGAUAGUUGCCCUGACUGCAGGCUGCUGAGUGGAGGUUUGUGUCACGCAGCCAGCUGCCGCAAAAGACAAGGGCUUGUCCCCAGGCCCCAGGAUUGGCCUCUGUGUCUUUGGACAGAGGUGCCAGGGUCUGUGGGGACUGCCACCAGCUCCAGGGCUCAGCUGGCUAGAAGCCUGUCUGCUGACACUGGGGCAAUUAGGGUGUAAUCUUCUCUAAAUGGUGCCUGAUUCUGGCUAAAUCCCUCCUGCCCAAGUGUGGAUUCCCAGUUUUCUAAAAGCAGCUUAGUAUUUGGAUGCUGCCCAGGGCAGCUGGGGUUUGUGGUUGUUGAUAGGAUGGAUAUGGGCGGAUGGGACAGACGUGGGGGAUGGGAGUGAUCCCUGUGUGGGCACCAGCCCUUGGGUGCAGUUCUCCUGAUCCCUAAAGCCAAUGUGCAGGUGCUCUGCUGGAAAACUGAAGCCAAAAGCCACACAGCAGGAAGGGCAGGCCAGGCCAGUGGAGGACAGAUGUCAACAGGGAUGGGCCCUUGGCAUGUUCAUCUGAUGCAUGAGGCUUGUCUGCUGGGUAGGGUGUGUGUGGGUGUGCCUGUAGCCUCUGUUCCCAUGUCAGUUCCCAGGAAGAGCCCCCAGCCCAGGAGGUCCCCACCUUCUCCUGCAGGGGGGAUCUGUGUAGCCUUUCUGGGCUCCUCCCUGCCCUCCUGCCAGCUGAGGCUGGCGGGCUCCUUGGAGCCCAGCUCCACCCCUUACCCCACCAUAUCCAGUACACCUACCCUUCCCUGGACAUCCCAGCUCUGGGAACCACUCUGCUGCAAAGAAGAAGAGUGCCUUUUGGUAUGAGAAGCUCUGUAGUACCCCCUGGGAGAUCAUCUGAAUUUGCUAAGCCUUGGUUUUGCUCACCUGUGAAAUCUGAGUGAAAAAUUGCUUCUUUGAAGUUGCUGUCAUGGCUCAGCCAUUAAUGAACUGGACUACAUCCUUGAGGACCCUGGUUUGAUCCCUGUCUCACUCAGCAGGUUAAGGAUCUGGCGUUGCCUUGAGCUGUGGUGUAGGUUGCAGAUGAAGCUCGGGAUCCUGAGUUGCUGUGGCUGUGGCGUAGGCUGGUGACUAAAUCUCCAAUUCGACCCCUGGCCUGGGAACCUUCGUAUGCCGCGGGUA